rnacentral:rRNA from 1 species
AACGCGAAGAACCUUACCAGGGCUUGACAUCCCCUGNAAAGACUGCGAAAGCAGGGACGCUAUCUUCGGAUAGACAGGGAGACAGGUGGUGCAUGGUUGUCGUCAGCUCGUGUCGUGAGAUGUUGGGUUAAGUCCCGCAACGAGCGCAACCCCUGCUCUUAGUUACCAGCGGUAAGGCCGGGUACUCUAAGAGGACCGCCGCCGACGAGGCGGAGGAAGGGGGGGAUGAAGUCAGGUAUCGUGCCCCUUAUAUCUUGGGCGACACACGCGCUACAAUGGGUUGGACAGAAGGGACCAAGACAGCGAUGUGGAGGAAAUCCUCAAACCAACCCCCAGUUCAGAUUGCAGGCUGAAACCCGCCUGCAUGAAGCCGGAAUCGCUAGUAAUCGCAGAUCAGCCAAGCUGCGGUGAAUACGUUCCCGGGUCUUGUACACACCG